GGGCAGGAUCUGUGGUUUAAAAUGGCUCUCUGACUUCCGGUCCGCGGCGGCGCUUCCGGCAACAACGCGAGGCCGCGGCGACGGUUGGAGGACAGUUGGUCGCCUGGCAACCGGGCAAUUGCUCUAGAAAGCCUUGAGUGCACUGGGCAUCAAUGGAAUGGAGAGGAGAAGAGCCAUCAAGAACACCACAGAUACAGUGGAGAAAGCCUCGAGAUGGCUCUGGAUCAGGAGAGGAGGUCCAUGCGGAGGAGCGAAUGCCACCUGAACACAUCACAGCUGGGUCGCCUGGGUGAGGGUGUCUGAUGUUGAAAGACCCGAAACACCCAAUGAACCCAGGUUACAUCACUGAUGAUGUGUUCAGGCGCAUCAAUAAAUGUGUUUUUUAUCAAUCUAUAAUCCAGUCCGGGUUUUCAUCAUACCAGCACCACUCAUAUUAACGGUUCCUGGCACAAGCUGCCAGUCGUGGUCCAGACACAGUGAUGCCAACAUACUGUGUAACUUUAUUGUUUGUCAAUAAACCUGUUGGAUCG